CUUCCAUGAGGAAAACACCCUAAAACAGCGUGGCAAACUGGGACUCGAAUGUGGGUCCGCCCCCGCCCCAGCCAUUCUCAUGACGUCAUCAUGUUGGGACCCAGCCACUGCUGAGUAUCGCUCUGCCUGUGUUGCUUUUGUUCUCCGCUGACAGCGUCCAGUAGUUACAAGAGACACUACUGCCUAGAACGCACGAGCUGGGUGUGAAUCCCACCUACUCUAAGGACUGAGGCAGGAGGAUGUGAAGUCCAAAGCCUGAGCAGUCGAGGGAGACCCUAACACCCACCUUCAUCCAAAGAACCAAAAUAGAAUCUCACUGUGUACUCCUGGCUGGCCUAGAACUCACUAUAGAGCACACUGGACUUGACCUUACAGAACUCUACCUACAACAGCUGCCUCCCAAGUGCUGGGUUAAAUGUUUGUGCUAUCAUGCCUAGACCUUUUAAAACUUUAAAACUUAAACUUUUAAAACUUU